AUUGAACGCUGGCGGAAUGCUUUACACAUGCAAGUCGAGCGGCAGCGCGGGGGCAACCCUGGCGGCGAGCGGCGAACGGGUGAGUAACAUAUCGGAACGUACCCCGUCGUGGGGGAUAACACAGCGAAAGCUGUGCUAAUACCGCAUACGACCUGAGGGUGAAAGCGGGGGAUCGCAAGACCUCGCGCGAUGGGAGCGGCCGAUAUCGGAUUAGCUUGUUGGUGAGGUAAAGGCUCACCAAGGCGACGAUCCGUAGCUGGUCUGAGAGGACGACCAGCCACACUGGAACUGAGACACGGUCCAGACUCCUACGGGAGGCAGCAGUGGGGAAUUUUGGACAAUGGGCGCAAGCCUGAUCCAGCAAUACCGCGUGUGUGAAGAAGGCCUUAGGGUUGUAAAGCACUUUCAAUUGGGAGGAAAACCUGCCGGUCAAUACCCGGUAGCUUGACAUUACCUUUAGUAAGAAGCACCGGCUAACUCCGUGCCAGCAGCCGCGGUAU
rnacentral:rRNA from 1 species